rnacentral:rRNA from 1 species
CGCUGGCGGCGUGCUUAACACAUGCAAGUCGAACGGGAUCCAUCAGGCUUUGCUUNUUNGUGAGAGUGGCGAACGGGUGAGUAUGCGUGACCGACCUGCCCCAUACACCGGAAUAGCUCCUGGAAACGGGUGGUAAUGCCGGAUGCUCCGACUCCUCGCAUGGGGUGUCGGGAAAGAUUUCAUCGGUAUGGGAUGGGGUCGCGUCCUAUCAGGUAGUCGGCGGGGUAACGGCCCACCGAGCCUACGACGGGUAGCCGGCCUGAGAGGGCGACCGGCCACAUUGGGACUGAGAUACGGCCCAGACUCCUACGGGAGGCAGCAGUGGGGAAUAUUGCACAAUGGGCGCAAGCCUGAUGCAGCGACGCCGCGUGCGGGAUGACGGCCUUCGGGGUUGUAAACCGCUUUUGAUCGGGGAGCAAGCCUUCGGGUGAGUGUACCUUUUCGAAUAAGCACCGGCUAACUACGUGCCAGCAGCCGCGG